rnacentral:lncRNA from 1 species
GAAGUGACGCUGACUCAGCCAGUGAGGAGCGGGCCUGUCUCCAACAGGCUGCAGAGCUGGGAGGAGACUUGGAGCCUCAUCCCGGAGAAAGGGCUGCCGGAGGACGACCCGGACAUCGUUGUGAAAGGUUGGCUGUACCGGGAGCCCCGCGGAGGAGGGGCGCGGCCCUGGCUGCCCCCGCGCCGAGCCUGGUUUGUGCUCACGCGGGACUCCCUGGAUCAGUUCAGCAGCAGCGGGAAAGGGGCGCGGCGUCUCGGGAGCCUCGUGCUCACCAGCCUGUGCUCGGUGACCGGCCCAGAGCGCAGGCGUAAGGAGACAGGUCUGUGGUCAGUGACUGUGUCUGGUCGGAAACACAGUGUCCGCCUCUGCUCCCCACGCCAGGCAGAGGCUGAGCGCUGGGGGGUGGCAUUGCGGGAAGUGAUCGCCUCCAAGGCACCCCUGGAGACCCCCACCCAGCUACUGCUCAGGGACAUACAGGUGACCCUCUCCCUGGCCCCCUAGGAAAGUUGCGGGGACCCAGAGGCCGUUGCCCUCAUUUACCUGAGGAACCCGAUUCUGAGACACACUAGUGGAGCCUUGUAUGCCCCACUCCUGCCCCUGCCCUAUGGAGUCAGCGCCCCAGGUGAGU